CAGACCAAUAGGGUUGAUGUAUAAAAAGGGUUUAGUGCAUAUAUAAGCUAUCCCAUAAUUUUUGGUUAAUUAUUUGGAGUUGAAAAAGUAUUUUUAUUUAAAUAGUUAUAUGGCCCUAAAGCAUUUAUAGGGAAAAUGUAUUUUUACAUAUUUUAUUUUGAAGAGAAACUACUCCCAAAAGUUGUAUCAUGGUAGAACAUGAUUUUACAAAUUUUCUGGAAUUUAUUUGGACCAAUUUGGAGUUCAAACUCAAAAGAUAUCAAAGAAAUGGGAAAAAAACAGAAAAAGAAAAGGUCUAAAAGAAAAAAAAAGGGGUAAACGGACCGGCCCGGCCGAAUUGGGCCGAACCGGCCCAACUCUUCACGCGCACCCGCAGCCCAGCCGGCCCAGCGCCCGCGGCCGCGCGCCCGCACCCGCUGACAGGUGGGGCCCACCUGUCAGGCCUUCGUCUUCCCGAAGGUAACCCCGCGCGAUCUCCGCCGCCGACCUGCGCCGCGCCGUCGCCGCCGUGACACCCGCACCCGCCGAUUUCGGCCUUCCCAAAGUUGCCCGAGCACGUCCUCUUAAAGCCCCUGCCCUCCUCUCCUUUUCCCCCAACCCAGCUCGCCCGAUUCGCCCCCAGGCUGCCCAAAUUUUGCGCCGCCGUCCGCCACCCGCCGUCGCGUCCCCGUCGACCUAGGCGUGGACUCCGACGUCCCCGAGGAGCGCCGCCGCCACCAGCGUCUCCGCCUCAACUCGCCGCGUACGCCCAUCUCCUCCCCGACCCGAGACCUCGCCGGAAGAGCCCGCCGCCGCGCCCC
rnacentral:lncRNA from 1 species